UACGAAGGGGGCGAGCGUUGUUCGGAAUUACUGGGCGUAAAGGGCGCGCAGGCGGCUCUGAAAGUCAGAUGUGAAAGCCCCGGGCUUAACCUGGGAAUUGCAUUUGAUACUCUGGAGCUUGAGUACGGGAGAGGAGAGUGGAAUUCCCAGUGUAGAGGUGAAAUUCGUAGAUAUUGGGAAGAACACCAGUGGCGAAGGCGGCUCACUGGCCCGGUACUGACGCUGAGGCGCGAAAGCGUGGGGAGCAAACAGG
rnacentral:rRNA from 1 species